rnacentral:lncRNA from 1 species
GUUGCUUCCGCCUCCCGGGGCGCAGGCGCUGGGCGCGGCGGGGAAGGGACUCGGCACUGGGGAAACCCGGAGUUUCAGCCAGGGUCCCAGGGCUUCCUUCCCGGGUUCCUGCCGGAAAACUUUUCUCCUCCGCCCGGAAGCCUCGAUGGGGCACCUGUCCUGCUCUGGCCUGCCCUGUGCUCAGGAAGCUGGCGGUCCCCCUCAGUGGAUCUUCACCCACAGGGACAACCUGCUGCAGACCGGGUAGGAGGGAGGCAGGGGCCUCUUCCCCUCUCCUUCCUGGCCUGGCCCCACACCCACCAGUGUUGGUUUCACUCUGUGGCUACGAUUCUUCCUGGGUGCCCUUUCCAUUGCACAACUCCUCUAGGCUCUACGAACAGAACUUCUCCCCGCCCCCAAGCCUCUUAGGGUGAGACAUGUUGUCGGUCUGCCAUUGUUGCUGGUCCCUAAAUAGCAGCACCCUUUGAAGGAUCCUUGAACCAUGACCACACCGCAACAAAGAGUCCUUCAUCAAACUCGCUUCCAAAUCCCCUCCCAAGAACACCUUCAGUUUCCUGCAAGAACCCUGACUGCUGAAGCCGGAUUUUGACUAAGCUUCUACCUUGUAAACCGUGACUGUGGGAUUGGGGUCGAGGCGCAAUCAGAGGUUGUAUAAGGCACUAGAUCAAGGCUGCCUGUCUGUCAGGAGUGUCUGCUUUAUUCAGUAGUAAAUGUGAAUUGUUUUUCAUUCUGUUGUGAAUACUGUUGGUUGACAAUGCAGCAGCCAUGCCCUCUCUAUCCUUGCUGGUUCAGGUAUCCACUCUGUGUGGCUAAGGGUAAACUCUGUCUCUUGAGAAAAUCUUGGUAACUCCAUUUCUCUUUCCAACAAUUGGCUUCAAACAAGCUCAAGUCAAUGAGUCCCAACAGGAAGCCUGCUGGGGGUUGUCUGGCAAAGGUUUUCUCACUCCUACAGGAACAUAAAGAGGAAAUGCUCCUUUUUCCCUGGUGAAUGUUGCAUUCCCUGUCUGGAUGCAAUGCCUGGUGCUCCGCAGCCCUUUGCACUUAUAAGAGAAGGUGGCCGGAAGAGCAUCUUCACCCUGGGGUGGCCGCCUGGGAAGAUGAGAAGAGCAGGAGUCCUUGGUGGCACAACCAGGCAAUUCACCAAAAUCCUGCUGCCCUCACCUGGAAUUUCCUGCUAUGAGAGACGUCUCCGUUUAAACCACAUGAGCUGGAUUUUCUGUUUCUAACACAUGUCAGCAUCUUCACGGUAAAUCUAAGAAAAAAAAAUCAGGGCUAUUAAAAAACAAAGUCCAACUCACCCUGUGCUAUGGUCUGAAGGUGUCCUCCCAAAUUCACACGUGGAAACCUAAUCCCAAAUACCUGAUACCUAAUCCCAAAUAUUAAGAGGUGGGGGCCUUGGGAGGUGGUUAGGAAUGGGAUUAGUGCCCUUUAAAACUGAGGUUUUUGGGAGCCUGCUUGCCCUUUCUGCCAUAUGAAGAUGCUUAGAAGAGGCCUUCUAUGAAGCAGAGAACUUUUCUCAGAUGCCAGAUCUGCUGGGACCUUGAUCUUGGAUUUCUCAGCCUUCAGAACUGUGGGAAGCAAACUUCUGUGUGUAUGAAUAGCCAUCUAAAGGAUUUUGUUACAGCAGCCUGAGCAGACUAAGACACCCUGUGAGUCAGUUAUUUUUGGCUGUGUCACGAGUGACCGCGAGUGCAGGAGCUGAAACGGCAGUGAGUGGGUUACCAUUUCUCAGGACCCUGCGGAAUUGGUGCGAUGGUGCUUCUGCUCCACCUGUUGUUGGCUGGGAUUGUCCUGCAGCUGCAUUCUUCUGGGGGUCAGCUGGGGCUGGAAGCUUCCUGUGGUCUAGUCACACAGCUGGGGUCUCAGCUAGGGUGAUAGAACACUGGGGGCAGGCCGGCCUUGCUGUCUCUCUCUGGCUUCUCAUCAUUCAGUGGUCUAGCCUGAGUUUUUUACAUGGCAGCUCAGGAGGGUCAAUGUGGACGCUAUACAGCCUGUAAGGCCCGGGUUUGGAAGUCCAAGAAUAUGACUUCUACCAUGUUCUACUGGUGAAUAUAAAUUCCAAGGCCAGCCUAGAUUCAAGGGAUAAGAACGUAGAUUUCACUCCUUGAUGGGAGGAUCCCAUGUACAGACAGGGAUCCUUAUGAGGGAUUAUGAGAACUCCUAAUCCUUAUGAGGGAUUAUCAUACAGAGAAUUUAUGGGGGAUUAUCUUUGGAAAUAAUCUACCAUAGACUGAAUAAAUGAUAAUGUAAUGUG